UACGUAGGGGGCAAGCGUUGUCCGGAUUUAUUGGGCGUAAAGAGCGUGUAGGCGGUUAGGUAGGUCCGUUGUGAAAACUCGAGGCUCAACCUCGAGACGCCGAUGGAAACCAUCUGACUAGAGUCCGGAAGAGGAGAGUGGAAUUCCUGGUGUAGCGGUGAAAUGCGCAGAUAUCAGGAAGAACACCCGUGGCUAAGGCGGCUCUCUGGGACGGUACUGACACUGAGACGCGAAAGCGUGGGGAGCGAACAGG
rnacentral:rRNA from 1 species